rnacentral:rRNA from 1 species
AUUGAACGCUGGCGGCAUGCCUUACACAUGCAAGUCGAACGGUAACAGGCCGCAAGGUGCUGACGAGUGGCGAACAGGUGAGUAAUGCGUCGGAACGUGCCCAGUCGUGGGGGAUAACGCAGCGAAAGCUGUGCUAAUACCGCAUACGAUCUAUGGAUGAAAGCGGGGGACCGUAAGGCCUCGCGCGAUUGGAGCGGCCGAUGUCAGAUUAGGUAGUUGGUGGGGUAAAGGCCUACCAAGCCGACGAUCUGUAGCUGGUCUGAGAGGACGACCAGCCACACUGGGACUGAGACACGGCCCAGACUCCUACGGGAGGCAGCAGUGGGGAAUUUUGGACAAUGGGCGCAAGCCUGAUCCAGCAAUGCCGCGUGCAGGAAGAAGGCCUUCGGGUUGUAAACUGCUUUUGUACGGAACGAAACGGUCUGGGUUAAUACCCUGGGCUAAUGACGGUACCGUAAGAAUAAGCACCGGCUAACUACGUGCCAGCAGCCGCCGUAAUAC